GAACUGUGUACUAGUGACAAUAUUUCAUGAUGGCUUCGGUUAGGGAGGAUAUUAACCAACACUGUGAAUGCCAUUCGAGGUAAAGUCUUCUCCAUCAAAGGCUGUUGAUGAAGAACCAGGCUUCUGCCAUGUGCUCACACUUCUUCAAACUGAUGACAUCCCAUGGUGAAGGUGAAGCUGGAGGGAGUAGAGGUGCCUGCGAAGUAUCCAAAUUCAUUACAAUGGUGCAUGGAAAACCAGAUUUGCAAGUUUUGGAGGAGGUUGAAAGUGAAUCAUCAGGUGACUCAUGCAUUGAUGAUGAUGAUGAUGAUGAUAAUUGAUGUUGGCCGUGUGAGCCAAAGUUCCUGUGAUGCUGAAAUGGAGCAAGAAUUGACUGAUAUAGACACAAGGAAUAAAGACCUCCCUGAUUCAGAUGAUGAAGAAAACAGCAAUCUUAGUACAUGUAUGACUAGUCCAAAUGGUACAAAAUGGUCAUGAAACCAAAUGAAAUGAUCCAAUGUUAGAACUAGGUCCAAAAAUAUAGUGAGGAUCUUGGCAGGGUGAAUCCAAUUGGAUGGAAUGUCAGCACUACCAUUCAAUGUUGGAAAUUAUUUGUAAGAGAAAAAAUGCUACAAGAUGUUGUGAAAUUCACAAAUGAUGAAAUACAAGUAAAAAGUUCUUUAUGCAUUGAUAACCAUACUAAAAAAUGUGUUUAUUGUGACCUCUUACUAGCUGAACUGAAAGCAUUCUCUUACUUUCUGAACUGAAAGCAUUCAUAGGUCUGCUGUACUUAGCAGGGCUUUCUCAUGAUAAUUGCAGGAAUUUAAAAGCUUUAUGGAGAAGUGAUGAGUGU
rnacentral:lncRNA from 1 species